AUCUGAAAUACAAACAUGUCUUAACCCUUAAACAGGCACUGUGCACCAGGAGAUACACACUCUUUAACAUCCUGUAGGGGGUGUGCUGGGAGGUUUUCACUAAUCAAGUUAGCAUUUAUCAAAAGUCUUGUCUGGUAUUAGCAUCUAGAUCACAUGAUUUGGUUCAGGCUAUCUUUCAUCGUUUCGUCAGCCUGAUCAGAAAAUAUCAUGGCCGCCAGUGGUGGAGAACCUGCUUCCUUUGGGCUGGCGUAAGAAAGGGUUUGAGCACCAGUCAACAGCAGCUGCCAGUUAAUUGCUACUUUGCCCAAUUUUUUGAUGAAAAUGAAAUUGCUGUGUUGCUUUGUUUUUAUGUAAUCUUCAGUGCACAAAAAGUUAAAUAUGUUCAUCAUGAAAUGUUCCGUUUUUGUGUCACUUUUUAUGAGAUUGCUUUGUUAUGAGAUUACUAAAAUGGAUUGGUAAAAAUUAAUAAAAUCAACUUUAAAAGUGCUAUGUGUACUGUAAAUGACCAAGGAAUACAACAAUGUAUAAUUUAUCUUCAUCAAAUUGAACAUUAAUAUGUUUAUCAUUGGGGCUCUGUUUAUACCUUAAUAGGGCAACGUAUCCUGGGAGAUACAACUCAUAAAAUCCAAAAUAUUGAAUAUAUAUACAUUUUGAAUGUGGAAAUAUUUUUCUUAGGGCAUAAAGAGAUGAGUGAUAACAUUAAAUUAUUUUUUACAACUUAUUUUCCACUCCUGCCUGUUGGACAUAAAAACCUGGAUGUCCUGAAAAUUCAGAAGUUUUUGUACUUGGCCUAAAACACCUCAGAGACUCACUGUCUAAAGAUAUAGUUACUCUAGAUGGUAUUACCUUGGCCUUCAGCACCACCGUCAGGAAUCUUGGAGUUAUUUUCGAUCAGGACAUGUCCUUUAACUCCUACAUUAAGCAAUUAAUUCAGAACGCUGCACCAAGAAUACUGACAGGAACUAGGAAAAGAGAUAAUAUUUCUCUUGUAUUAGCUUCUAUGCAUUGGCUCCCUUUAAAAUUCAGAAUAGAAUUUAAAAUCCUACUGCGCUCUCUGAAUGCAGGGUGGGUCCUAUAGUCACUAAAAGUAGAACAGGAGCCAGAGCCUUCAGCUACCAAGCUCCUCUCUUGUGGAACCAGCUUCCAGUUUUGGUUCGGGAGACACAUUUAAGAGUAGGCUUAAGACGUUGUCUUUGAUAAAGCUUAUAGUUAGGGCCUCCCUUAGUUAUAGGCCUAGAUCCUUCUUCUCCCACUCUUUCUGCACAUUCAUCCAUGGUUCUUGUGCUUUCUCGUUUCGCAGGUUCUCAUGGAUCCUAGUGGUGCCUGCUGCCAUGGUCCUGCUUGACUCCCACUGCUAAUAUUACUGAUAUUAUUGUUAUUACUACAGUUACUAUUAUUACUAUUAUCAUUGCUCA
rnacentral:lncRNA from 15 species